GUAAUACAGAGGAUGCAAGCGUUAUCCAGAAUGAUUAGGCGUAAAGCAUCUAUAGGUGGCUUUUUAAAUCCGCCGUCAAAUCUCAGGGCUCAACCCUAGACAGGCGGUGGAAACUGCCAAGCUAGAGUAUGGUAGGGGCAGAGGGAAUUUCCGGUGGAGCAGUGAAAUGCGUAGAGAUCGGAAAGAACACAAACCU